AUUGAACGCUGGCGGCAUGCCUUACACAUGCAAGUCGAACGGCAGCACGGGGCAACCUGGUGGCGAGUGGCGAACGGGUGAGUAAUGUAUCGGAACGUACCAUUGAGUGGGGGAUAACGUAGCGAAAGUUACGCUAAUACCGCAUAUACCCUGAGGGGGAAAGCAGGGGAUCGCAAGACCUUGUGCUCUUUGAGCGGCCGAUAUCAGAUUAGCUAGUUGGUGGGGUAAAGGCUCACCAAGGCGACGAUCUGUAGCGGGUCUGAGAGGAUGAUCCGCCACACUGGGACUGAGACACGGCCCAGACUCCUACGGGAGGCAGCAGUGGGGAAUUUUGGACAAUGGGCGCAAGCCUGAUCCAGCCAUGCCGCGUGAGUGAAGAAGGCCUUCGGGUUGUAAAGCUCUUUCGGCCGGGAAGAAAUCGUACAGGUUAAUACCCUGUGUGGAUGACGGUACCGGAAUAAGAAGCACCGGCUAACUACGUGCCAGCCGCCGCGGUAAUAC
rnacentral:rRNA from 1 species